CCUCCGGUAAAGGGGGACUGCGGAGGGAUCAUUACCGAGUUAUCCAACUCCCAACCCCUGUGAAUUAUACCUUUAAUUGUUGCUUCGGCGGGACUUCGCGCCCGCCGGGGACCCAAACCUUCUGAAUUUUUUAAUAAGUAUCUUCUGAGUGGUUAAAAAAAAAUGAAUCAAAACUUUCAACAACGGAUCUCUUGGUUCUGGCAUCGAUGAAGAACGCAGCGAAAUGCGAUAAGUAAUGUGAAUUGCAGAAUUCAGUGAAUCAUCGAAUCUUUGAACGCACAUUGCGCCCGUCAGUAUUCUGGCGGGCAUGCCUGUUCGAGCGUCAUUACGCCCCUCAAGUCCCCUGCGGACUUGGUGUUGGGGAUCGGCGAGGCUGGUUUUCCAGCACAGCCGUCCCUUAAAUUAAUUGGCGGUCUCGCCGUGGCCCUCCUCUGCGCAGUAGUAAAGCACUCGCAACAGGAGCCCGGCGCGGUCCACUGCCGUAAAACCCCCCAACUUUUUAUAGUUGACCUCGAAUCAGGUAGGACUACCCGCUGAACUUAAGCAUAUCA
rnacentral:rRNA from 1 species